rnacentral:rRNA from 1 species
AGGGCGAACGGGGGAUGCCUAGGCUAUCCGGAGGCGAAGAAGGACGCGGUAAGCUGCGAAAAUUCACGGGGAUUCGCAAACAGGAAGUGAUCCGUGAGUGUCCGAAUGGGGCAACCCGGCAGGCUGAAGGCCUGUCACCAUCUUAGGAUGGGGCGAACGGGGGGAACUGAAACAUCUCAGUACCCCCAGGAGAAGAAAGAAAGAUCGAUGACCUGAGUAGAGGCGAUCGAAAGGGUCGGAGCCUAAACCGUGCAGCUCAAGGGCUGUGCGGGGUCGUAGGAGCUCCCAAGGGAUGACGUCAAGGAACUGGAAGCGCAUGGAAAGGCGCCGCGCAGAGUGUGACACGCACGUACAGGCAACGAGGACGUUACAGGGGAGCCACCUGAGUAGGGCGGGGCACGAGGAAUCCUGUCCGAAUCCGCGGGGACCAUCCCGCAAGGCUAAAUACAUCCGGAAGACCGAUAGUGAACCAGUACCGUGAGGGAAAGGUGGGAAGAACCCCGAACAGGGGAGUGAAAGAGAACCUGAAACCGUUCGUCUACAAGCGGUCGGAGCUCGCGAGAGCGACGGCGUGCCUUUUGCAUAAUGAGCCUACGAGUUGCUUCACGCCGGCGAGGCUAAGCCAUUGAGUGGCGGAGCCGGAGCGAGAGCGAGUCUGAACAGGGCGUUCAGUCGGCGUGAGCAGACGCGAAACCUAGUGAUCUACCCUUGUCCAGGGUGAAGUCGCCGUAACAGGCGAUGGAGGCCCGAACCAGUUUCCGUUGAAAAGGGCUUGGAUGAGAUGAGGGUAGGAGUGAAAGGCCAAUCAAACUGGGAGAUAGCUCGUACUCCCCGAAAUGUCUUUAGGGACAGCCUCGACGGUGUGUAUGUGAGGUAGAGAUACUGAUAGGAAGAGAGGGCUUCGCCGCCUGUCAAUUCCUGCCAAACUCCGAAUGCGCAUACAUUAGACGUCGGGAGUGAGUCGGCGGGUGCUAAUAUCCGUCGGCGAGAGGGUAAGAGCCCAGACCUCCGGCCAAGGCCCCAAAGCGCAGUUUAAGUUGAGAGAGAACAAGGUGACACCGCAGAGACAGCUAGGAUGUUAGCUUGGAAGCAGCUAUUCAUUCAAAGAGUGCGUAACAGCUCACUAGUCGAGCGGUGACGCGUGGAUGAUGACCGGGCAUCAAGACUGCCGCCGAAGCCGAGGGCGCGAAGCGAUUCGCGCGGUAGGGGAGCAUUGUGUACAGCGGAGAAGGCCGACCGGCGAGGUCGACUGGAGCGUACAGAAAAGAAAAUGUAGGCAUGAGUAACGAUAAGGGGAAGAGAAAUUCCCCCGCCGACAACCCAAGGGUUCCUGAACAACGUUAAACGGAUCAGGGUAAGCCGGGAGCUAAGCCGAAGCCGAGAGGCGCAGGUGAUGCACAAGCGGUAAAGAUUCCGCUGCCCGCGUUACAGUCGGAGAUGGGACCUGGGAGUGGUCCGGCCGCCGUCUGACGGAAUAGACGGUUGAAGCGGGGUAGGCGCAAGCCGAGCCGCGACAGUACGGCGAGUCUUCGGACGAGCCGACAGCGCCGGAGAAUCAGGCCAGCGAGAAAACCAUCGACGAGCUAAGCGUGACGCGGCCCGUACCGUAAACCGACACAGGUGGGUGAGGAGAGAAUCCUAAGGCGCUCGAGUGAAUCACAGCUAAGGAACUAGGCAAAUUGACCCCGUAACUUCGGGAGAAGGGGACCCACAGCGAUGUGGGCGCAGAGAAAUGGCCCAGGCGACUGUUUACCAAAAACACAUGGCUAUGCGAAAUCGUUAAGAUGACGAAUAUGGCCUGACACCUGCCCGGUGCCGGAAGGUUAAGAGGGGGGGUCACCGAAAGGGAAGCCCUGAAUUGAAGCCCCGGUAAACGGCGGCCGUAACUAUAACGGUCCUAAGGUAGCGAAAUUCCUUGUCGGGUAAGUUCCGACCUGCACGAACGGCGCAACGACUUGGGCGCUGUCUCGACCAUGGGCCCGGCGAAAUUGCAUUAUCCGUGAAGAUGCGGAUUCCCCGCGGAAGGACGGAAAGACCCCGUGAACCUUUACUGCAGCUUGGCAUUGGCCGCAGGCGCGGCGCGUAGAGGAUAGGCAGGAGGCUGCGAAGCCCGGGCGCCAGCCCGGGCGGAGCCGACCUUGGAAUACUGCCCCCGUCGCGUCGGCGGCCUAACCCGGGGACGGCCCGGGGACCGUGCCAGGCGGGCAGUUUGACUGGGGCGGUCGCCUCCCAAAGAGUAACGGAGGCGCGCGCAAGGUCCGCUCAGGACGGUCGGCAACCGUCCGCGGAGCGCAAGAGCACAAGCGGGCCUGACUGCGAGGCAGACAAGCCGAGCAGGGACGAAAGUCGGCUCUAGUGAUCCGGCGGCCCCGAGUGGAAGGGCCGUCGCUCAACGGAUAAAAGGUACUCCGGGGAUAACAGGCUGAUCUUGCCCAAGAGUCCACAUCGACGGCAAGGUUUGGCACCUCGAUGUCGGCUCAUCGCAUCCUGGGGCUGGAGCAGGUCCCAAGGGUACGGCUGUUCGCCGUUUAAAGUGGUACGCGAGCUGGGUUUAAAACGUCGUGAGACAGUUUGGUCCCUAUCUUCUGUGGGCGUAGGAGAAUUGAAAGGGCCUGUCCCUAGUACGAGAGGACCGGGAUGGACACACCACUGGUGGACCUGUUGUCGUGCCAACGGCACAGCAGGGUAGCUAUGUGUGGAAGGGAUAACCGCUGAAAGCAUCUAAGCGGGAAGCCUGCCUUAAGAUAAGUUCUCCCUGACGCAAGUCCUGAAGGGCCGAGGUAGACGACCUCGUUGAUAGGCUGGAGGUGGAAGCCCUGUGAGGGGUGGAGCUGACCAGUACUAAUAGCCCGUGCGUCUUGUUU